rnacentral:rRNA from 1 species
GAUGAACGCUGGCGGCGUGCUUAACACAUGCAAGUCGAACGAUGAAGCCCAGCUUGCUGGGUGGAUUAGUGGCGAACGGGUGAGUAACACGUGAGUAACCUGCCCUUAACUCUGGGAUAAGCCUGGGAAACUGGGUCUAAUACCGGAUAGGAGCGCCUACCGCAUGGUGGGUGUUGGAAAGAUUUAUCGGUUUUGGAUGGACUCGCGGCCUAUCAGCUUGUUGGUGAGGUAAUGGCUCACCAAGGCGACGACGGGUAGCCGGCCUGAGAGGGUGACCGGCCACACUGGGAAGGGGACACGGCCCAGACUCCUAGGGGGGGGAGCGGGGGGGAAUAUGGCACAAGGGGCGAAAGCCGGAGGCAGCGACGCCGGGGGGGGGAUGACGGCCUUCGGGUUGUAAACCGCUUUCAGUAGGGAAGAAGGGAAAGUGAAGGUACCGGCAGAAGAAGCACCGGCUAACUACGG